rnacentral:rRNA from 1 species
UACGUAGGGUGCAAGCGUUAAUCGGAAUUACUGGGCGUAAAGCGUGCGCAGGCGGUUAUGUAAGACAGAUGUGAAAUGCCCGGGCUUAACCUGGGAACUGCAUUUGUGACUGCAUGGCUAGAGUUUGGCAGAGGGGGGUAGAAUUCCACGUGUAGCAAUGAAAUGCGUAGAUAUGUGGAGGAAUACCGAUGGCGAAGGCAGCCCCCUGGGCCAA